rnacentral:rRNA from 1 species
AUUGAACGCUGGCGGCAUGCCUUACACAUGCAAGUCGAACGGCAGCACGGGAGCAAUCCUGGUGGCGAGUGGCGAACGGGUGAGUAAUGUAUCGGAACGUGCCUUGUCGUGGGGGAUAACGUAGCGAAAGCUACGCUAAUACCGCAUACCAUCUAAGGAUGAAAGCGGGGGAUCGCAAGACCUCGCGCGACAAGAGUGGCCGAUAUCAGAUUAGGUUGUUGGUGGGGUAAAGGCCUACCAAGCCGACGAUCUGUAGCUGGUCUGAGAGGACGACCAGCCACACUGGGACUGAGACACGGCCCAGACUCCUACGGGAGGCAGCAGUGGGGAAUUUUGGACAAUGGGCGAAAGCCUGAUCCAGCAAUGCCGCGUGCAGGAUGAAGGCCU